ACCCGCUGAACUUAAGCAUAUCACUAAGCGGAGGAAAAGAAAUUAACUAAGAUUGCCUCAGUAACGGCGAGUGAAGCGGCAAGAGCCCAAGCUGGAAAUCUUCACACUGCGUGUGACGAAUUGUAAUCUAAAGAGGGUUCGCUCAACGGGCGGUGGCGCAGAAGUGCCUUAGAACGGGCCGCCAGAGAGGGUGACAGCCCCGUAUGUGGUGCCACUGCCUAACGAGCGGGUCCCCGAAGAGUCGGGUUGUUUUGUAUUGCAGCCCUAAGUGGGAGAUAAACUUCUUCUAAGGCUAAAUACCUAUGGGAAACCGAUAGCGAACAAGUACUGUGAAGGAAAGAUGAAAAGAACUUUGAAAAGAGAGUCAAAAGACUUGAAAUCGUUGAGAAGGAAGCGGUAGAAAUUUAUUCUUCGGCGGAGAACGGUGACUUCUGCCUAACCAUUGCCGGCUGUCAGCACUUCGUAAGGCUGCGGCCGGCACAUGGGGAAGCGGCUGUCUUGUUCUCCGUCGUGAGGCAAAAUGAGGUCGCACAUCCGCAGAGGCUUCCCAGACCUGGCCCGAUUCGUCGGGUAGUCUGGGUUUGCCGGUGGGCGUGCGGCCUGAGGUGCUUCGUGCGAUUUUGCCAAAAUGGUUUU
rnacentral:rRNA from 1 species